AUCGGCGGACGGGUGAGUAACACGUGGGUAACCUGCCUGUAAGACUGGGAUAACUCCGGGAAACCGGGGCUAAUACCGGAUGGUUGUUUGAACCGCAUGGUUCAGACAUAAAAGGUGGCUUCGGCUACCACUUACAGAUGGACCCGCGGCUUUUAGCUAGUUGGUGAGGUAACGGCUCACCAAGGCGACGAUGCGUAGCCGACCUGAGAGGGUGAUCGGCCACACUGGGACUGAGACACGGCCCAGACUCCUACGGGAGGCAGCAGUAGGGAAUCUUCCGCAAUGGACGAAAGUCUGACGGAGCAACGCCGCGUGAGUGAUGAAGGUUUUCGGAUCGUAAAGCUCUGUUGUUAGGGAAGAACAAGUGCCGUUCAAAUAGGGCGGCACCUUGACGGUACCUAACCAGAAAGCCACGGCUAACUACGUGCCAGCAGCCGCGGUAAUACGUAGGUGGCAAGCGUUGUCCGGAAUUAUUGGGCGUAAAGGGCUCGCAGGCGGUUUCUUAAGUCUGAUGUGAAAGCCCCCGGCUCAACCGGGGAGGGUCAUUGGAAACUGGGGAACUUGAGUGCAGAAGAGAGAGAGUGGAAUUCCACGUGUAGCGGUGAAAUGCGUAUAGAUGUGGAAGAACACCACCUGGCGCAUUGCGACUCUCUGAUCUGUAAGUGACACUGACGAGCGAGAUCCUGAGGAGCGAGCACGAUUACAUACCCUGGUAAUCCACGACGCAACUAUGAGUGGUGUGUUGCUACGAGGGUUGUCCGCCCCCUCAUGCUGCAGCGUAGAAUCAGCACUCCUCUCUCGGCGAGUACGUCGCAGAUUGAAAUGAACCUGCACUGAUGAGCGCGCCUAUCAGAUGCAGAAUGUAGGAUUACGUCGAUCACCUACGACAUUACAUUGCGUGACUGCUCUCACAACCUAUACGACUGCGUCUGUAGCGAGAUGUGGUGGUACGUC
rnacentral:rRNA from 2 species